CCAUGACUGUCAUGUGUUGUUACAACGUUUAAUGCUGGAAGGUAUUCGUAAGUACUUCAAAAAAGAAAUUCGGGACACAAUCAUUGAGUUAUGUAUGUAUUUUAAACAAUUAUGAUCAUGAAAACUUAAUGUUUCUAAUUUGAAAAACAUGCAAACAAAUAUUCUAACUAUUCUGUGCAAGUUAGAAACUAUUUUCCCACCAACUUUCUUUGACAAGAUGGUUCAUAUAGUUAUGCAUCUCCCUAAAGAAGCCAUACUAGAUGGACCAGUGCAUGCAGUACAGGUGGAUGUAUCCCAUUGAGCGGUCAAUCUCUGGUUAUAAGCAGGAAUCGUACUCAUCUAGAAGGCUCUAUCGCUGAAUCUUUUGUGGUUGAUGAGGCAUUAACGAUGUGUUCUAUGUACUUCCAAGAAGUGAAAACUCAAUUCAAUUGUCCUAAACGGAACAGUGACAUCAUCCCAAUAUGCCAGUUCGACAAUUUUCUGUAUUCAGGCAUGUUGACCGACCACUGGUAUGAGGACAGUCGACACAUUACCAAUGAUAAGUAAGCAUAAGAUAGAGUGGUACAUAUUGAACAACUGCACAAAGGUUGAGCCGUAUACGAAUCAGCAUAAAGAGUUGCUUCAUGCAAGGGGUGUAGGCAAUAUUGAAAAUGUGCAAGAGAAUGAGUUUCCUGAAUGGUUUAAAAAAUGAGUAAGUAUUGCUGCCUCUAAAUAUUCAUAAUGCCGUCACCCUAACUCUUCAAUUUUCCUUAAUAACUGUUAUUUUUUCUGAAUGUAGAUUAAUGAACUACGGUUGAACAACUAUGCUGCAGUGUCAGAUGAGUUGUAUGCUAUUGCGAAAUCAGCGAAUUCAACAAUUUAUUUUUAUCCUGGUUGCAUAGUGAAUGGCAUUAAAUUUUUAGUUAAGGAAAGCGAUGACAAUCGCAAAAUACAAAAUACCGGUGUUAUGGUGCCAAGUGAACAUGGACAAAAUUUUUAUGGCACACUUGAAAAAAAUUAUGGAGUUGACUUAUUUAAAGGACUGCAGUGUUUUCUUAUUUAUGGAUACUUAUUUAAAGGGCUGCAGUGUUUUCUUAUUUAUGUUUUAGUGGUUUGAUACUAAUAGGAGUAGAAUGGAUAGUGAUGGUGUUUUGACUAGCACUUGCAUUAACUGAGAAUGGUAUCAAAAAGAACCGUUCAUACUUGCAUCUAAAGCAAUGUUGAUAUAUUACAUUCUUGAUCUUAAGAACGGUAAAGACUGGCUGAUUUUCAAUAAGUACAUCCGUAGAAUGUCUAGGACUUCCCGAACGAUGAUGGGGAUACAUCCUUUAUAUAGAAAAAUAAUUUAGCUGAAACUUAGUUAGUUGUUCAACUUCCAUAAUUAGAUGAUGUUGACUAUGGCCGUCAUGAUGUGGACCCAACUGAAGUUGCUAACAUCCAUCGUGUGAAUUCUCGGCAGUUAGAUAAUUUCAUUGUCAAUGAGGACGAUGAGGGUCCAAAUGACCAAGACGACAAUUUCUUAGAUUUGGAGAGUGAUAGUGAUGAUAAUGAUGUAUAUGUAACUGAUGAUGAUGGUGAUGAUGAUGAAUUGUAAUGAUAUUUAAAUAGCAAUGACAAUCAUAUAUGUUCUUAUUUAAUAUGUUUUAAAUAUGGUUGUCUAUUUUAAAUCUAAAAAUAUGUUCUCCAUAUAUAUAGUAUGUCUACACCAGGUGACAACUCUUCGAAAAAGAAAGGGGUAAGAGGUAAAUACAAAGGCGAAAAUAUUGAGAUAGAGAUUUCCAAAACACCGAAUGCCAAACUACACAUUUAAUUGCAUGAAAAAACGAGCACCCCAGUCGAUCCAAAUAGAAAAAAAUUCAACAACAUGUGCAAAUAGGUGGUUUGCAUGUCUGUGCCCAUUAAUAAAUUCAAAUGGGAAGAUGUUUCCAGAGCUGACAUCAACACAUUGUGGGACAGACUUGAGACAAUCGUGCGUUUGUAGACUAUGGUGAGUACGAAAUGUCAAAAAGUUUGCAUGACUGGCGAGCCAACUGUAAGAAAAUAUGGAUCCAAAAUAUUGAGGAGCUUAGAUAGGAGAGGGAAGACAUGUUACCUCUGGAAGAAGUAACUCAAGAGGUGUGGAGUGAUUGCAUUU